CUGCCCUCAUCGCGGCAGCACGGCGAACCGGGGACCCAGGUAGUUGGGGUGAAUCCGCGAGCGAUCGCGGUAGGGCGACUUCCGGUCCGAACCCGUCAGCUAACCCGGUACGCGGCGAGGUCGA
rnacentral:sRNA from 2 species